UACGUAGGGGGCAAGCGUUGUCCGGAUUUAUUGGGCGUAAAGAGCGUGUAGGCGGCUUUGCAAGUCCGUUGUGAAAACUCGAGGCUCAACCUCGAGACGCCGGUGGAAACUGCAAAGCUAGAGUCCGGAAGAGGAGAGUGGAAUUCCUGGUGUAGCGGUGAAAUGCGCAGAUAUCAGGAAGAACACCUAUGGCGAAAGCAGCUCUCUGGGACGGUACUGACGCUGAGGAGCGAAAGCGUGGGGAGCGAACAGG
rnacentral:rRNA from 1 species